rnacentral:rRNA from 1 species
UACGUAGGGUGCAAGCGUUGUCCGGAAUUAUUGGGCGUAAAGAGCUCGUAGGCGGUUUGUCGCGUCGAAUGUGAAAACCCGGGGCUCAACCCCGGGCCUGCAUUCGAUACGGGCAGACUAGAGUUCGGUAGGGGAGUCUGGAAUUCCUGAUGUAGCGGUGAAAUGCGCAGAUAUCAGGAGGAACACCGGUGGCGAAGGCGGGACUCUGGGCCUGUUCUGACGCUGAGGCGCGAAAGCUAGGGGAGCGAACAGG